GGCGUGUCUUGAUGACUGGGGCUGGAAUCCUCUGGAGUUGUCUUCACUCACAGGUCUGCUGGUGAAUGCUGUCUGUUGGUUGGAGUAUUUAGGCAGAACUUCACCAUGUGAUUUCUCUCAUCUGGCAAAUUUGAUGGUUGGGUUUCACAAGGAGCCAAGAGACUUGGUGGGAACUGUAUCACCUUUUAUGACCUAGCUCUGUAAGCUGUGUAAUGACACUUCUGCUAAAGUCACAAAAGCUGCCCAGCAUCAAGGAGAAGGACUUAGACUCAUGCCUCCAUAGGAGGAGUGUCAAGUCACCUUGUAAGAGGAGCAGAUGGGAAGGAUUUAUUGAUGUGGCUGUUUUGGGGAAAUGCAACCAGCCUCACACCUACAGUUCAUUCUGAGGUUUUUUUUUCUCUACUCUUCGGAAAUAGAAUAAUUUUUUAAGUUUUAUAUUUUUUGUUUGUUUCGAAGAUAGUCUUCCCUGCAGAUCCUCUCCAGAAAGGGUUAGCCUUCCUCCAGCCCUCCUCCACACCAGACCUCUCAGCUCAUCAAGGCACUGAACAGUCACACAGAUGAAACUUGUUACCAAACCGGCUCUCUGCAGAACACGACAUCUGGCUCUCAAUCCAUGUGCUAUUUUUACAGCGCCAGGAGCUGAAUUCGGAGGAUUGGAGAUCUUAAAAUUAAUUUCUAAUGAGAACCAAGAUAUAUUAGAAUGAAAUUCCAAAGUGAGGCACCAGCUCAUCACAUGCAGCAUUUACAAAGAAAAACCAUCUUCAACGGUGGCUCACGCCUGUAAUCCCAGCACUUUGGGAGGCCGAGGCCGGUGGAUCACGAGGUCAAGAGAUUGAGACCAUCCUGGUCAACAUGGUGAAAUCCCGUCUCUACUAAAAAUACAAAAAUUAGCUGGGCAUGGUGGUGCGUGCCUGUAAUCCCAGCUACUCAGGAGGCUGAGGCAGGAGAAUUGCUUGAACCCAGGAGGCGGAGGUUGCAGUGAGCCGAGAUGGUGCCAUUGCACUCCAGCCUGGGUAACAAGAGUGAAACUCCGUCUCAAAAAAAAAAAAGAAAAGAAAAACCAUCUUCGAAACUUUUGAGCACCUCAUCUAGAGUUUUAAGAGAGUGCAGAUGUAGAGAGAGGAUUUUUAAAUGAGUAUUUAGAGAACGUUGUAUUGCUGGAAGUUGUAGAGACAUUACCUGUUCUUUCAUUUCAAUCUUAGUUUUUGGGGAGAAGAGCUCAAUGAGGUCAUUCAGAACUUUAUAUGCAGCCCCUUAAACUUUGGAGACCCAGGAUAUGGAAAUCGGCCUCUUAACCCAAUAAAUUCAGAGGUCAGAGAAGGGCUGCUGAGACCCUUUGGUGGUUGUCUGUGGGUGGCUUUUGCAUAUGGAAAGUGAGCGCAUUCCCUGUCCACCACGGGUCACAGCGUGUGUGAGUGUCUCCCAUGGACCAGCCAUUGACUCUGGAAGAAAGAGAGUGCCCCUGGAGCUAUUUCAGACCAUCAGCAAGGGGACUCCCUCAAAGGGAUGAAGAGACCCCCAGCAGUGAGCAUCUGACCAUGAACUGAACACAUUGGGACCAACCAAAGAAGAAACAUGGUCUACAUUAUGGGGCCUGGAUCUGGAAAAGCCCACAAGUGCAUUCCUAAGAGAAAGUGUUGGCAACUACUUACCUGAUACCAGAAAGUCAUGACAUAAGGUGAAGAACACACCCAGUAAGUCAGAAGGUGGUGUUUCCACAGUGCAUGCUCUUCCCUGCAGCCAGUCACUGCAGGAGGAGGGAACAUUGCAGGGAAAGAAUGAAGUAGAACCACCCCUGCUUCCACCCACCUCCUGAAACUGAUCCGGCCACAGUGGGCCUAGCUAGGGAAUGGAAGAUGGUACGCUAACUUUUGCACAAACAUUUCAUUACUAUCAAGAACCGGUUAUUCUAACUUCCAAAUUGAGCCUUUAUGUGCUAAAGUGACCAUGAUCCUGUCUACCGCCUAAUUCAUUAAACCUAUCCAAGAUUUCACCCAGGAGCAGAGAAUUUCUAUUAAAGGGAAGAAAGUAGGAAGAAUUACCUUGUGCUUUGAGUAUAUCCUGUAUAUGGUAGUUGUCCAGUGGGCUGCUCGGCUACCUUUUAGUGGCUUCCAACUGAAAACACUGGGGUCCGCAGAGCUGGCUGGUAAGAACACUAGCAAUUGAAUGUGUUUGCAUAAGCAUUUGAAGCCUGCUCUGUGUCACUGAAAAGUCUUUUAAAGGCAUGUGUAGAGCUUCCAAAAGAGCUAGAGGACAAGGCAUACCCUCCUUGGAUAUUCCCUGUGAAGUAUCAUUUAUGUGCAGAGAUGAAAAAAAAGUUUUUUAUCAAAGAAAAAUUCAGAGAUGUUUGUUAGCUAUUCUGCAGCAUGCUUAUUAGUUUAUUUCGCAGUCAUAUUGUUUACUCACAUGAGGAGUCGGUUGGUAGAAUGAGCCAGAAAACAAACGCAAAAAUGGGAGUCAUAAGACAGAGGAGAAAAAUAAACCGUUGGCAGUCUAGAAACAGUGCAUCUUGUUUGCACGAUUUUUGCCUAAGCUGAUGAUCUGGAAGGGAUGAUCUAAGCUGAUGAUCUACCUUUUUGAGUAGGCCAAUCAGAGGGAUCAAAGAUAACAAUUUUCAUUGUUCAGGAAUUCUCCAGAAAUCUUUGAGGUUUGGACUUAGAACAGAUAGUGGUAUCAUCUUCUUGGCGUGUCUGCCAUUGUCCUCUCUCAUGACUCCUUUGGUUCAUCCUGCCCCACUUAGUUCAGCAGAUUUUCUCAUGAUUGACAAUCUUCUACCAUCCCUCCGUUUGUCCAUUCUAAGACAGUUUUAGUGUGUUUGCGUUAGGAAGGGAAACCAGAGAGUUCCUAAAAGCUGAAUGUUUCUAAGUUAGAAAGGGCAGAGAGCUUUCCAUUUUUCUAUUAAAAAAGGAAUUUGGGGAGGUGGGAGGGGAGAAGAGGACAGAUGAGACAGUGUUAGCUUAGAUUAUAUUUUGGGAGAAAGGUUUGGGGAGGUUUUUUCAGCAGAUAACCACAGUAUGGGGACAGUUGCUGCAAGGCGAUCAGUUGGCUUUGUGGGAGCAGAUAAGGAUCUUGGGGGCAUUUCUACUGUACAUAAUGUAGUAUAUUUUCCCUCUUUUUUUUUUAAGAGUUCUGCAAAGAAGAUUUAAAUUGCUUUUCAGUUCCUUUGCAGCUCUUCUAAAGGCAAUGCUGUGCUGAGAAAGGCAAUGA